UUUUUUUUGUAUUUUGUU
rnacentral:sRNA from 1 species